rnacentral:lncRNA from 1 species
CUAAACACCCCCCUUCUUGGUAACACCUGUGCCCGCAGCUCCUUCCUCUAACCUGCUUUUCUGCUUCUGUAAAAUUCCGCUUCAGCUAGGCUCCCCCUCCCCUACCUAAAUCAAGGUAUAAAAAAUAAUCAAGCCCUUCCUCGGGGCCGAGAGAAUUUUAAGCAUUAGCCGUCUCUUGGUCGCUGGCAAAUCAAUAAAGAACUCUUAAUUUGAAACUCAGAGCAUGGCGUGUUCCUUCUAACUCGCUAAUUUGCGACAUUUGGAAGCCCCAGUGAGAAAUUUGCCACCAGGUGCAAACUGGGCUCGUUCAGAGCUCCCACGGGGGAGGAGGCGGACUGCAGGGGAGGCGCCUGUUCCAGGGUCCCAUUAACCACCCCUUACCGGAGGAGAGCGGAUCCCCGGUGCACUCCACUAAAUUAUUCUUCGGAGUCCCUGGUCCUGCUCCGCGGAGAAGAUACUAUCAAGCUUCAGAUGAUUAUUCCACAAGUGUUCCAGCCAAUCCACACCAGGCCAUCAAGGAGCUACCUUGCCUCCACUAGACAAAGCAGGGUGACCAGAAAUUGAAUGGAAAUACAGUUCAUAAAAAAUGUAAGCUGAAAAUAAGUAAGCUCCUGACAUUCAGCAGAAAUGGCAAUUUGCUAGGGAGAAGAAAAUUUGGUUCAUACCCAGCAUCAAAUUUAUCCGCAAGAUUAUUGGAGAAGUAAUGAAAAUUUAUCUCCUGAGGUCAUGUAAUACCUGUUACUAAAGGAGUUCUCAAUUAUUUGUGCUGUGGAUACAUAUACACUUGAGGCUUCACUGCAUACAUCAAAAGAUACAUUGUAAUUAUGUUCACCUUAUUUUCAAAGCCUAACAUCAUGUCACAUGGUUUGGCAACAGUAUAUAAUACCAUAAUCAAGAUUGUUUUAGAAAAUCUAAAACAAUAUGUUUAUCUUAUAUAUAACACAGAACUGAAAGAGACAUCUAACAUUAAAUGAAUAUUUACUAUUAUGCAUUAGGCAUAUCACAUUGCCUAUUUCUAACAACACUGUUAUUGGUAGAUAAGAAAUAUUAGUUUCUUUUUUAAAUUAUUAUACUUUAAACUCUGGGAUACAAGUGCAGAACGUGCAGGUUUGUUACAUAAGUAUACACGUGCAAUGUUGGUUUGCUAGACCCAUCAACCUGUACAUGAGGUAUUACAUGAGGUAUUUCUCCUAAUGCUAUCCCUCCCGUAGUCCCCCACCCACUGACAGGCCCCAGUGUGUGAUAUACUUUUCCCUGUGUCAAUGUGUUCUCUUUGUUCAACUCCCACUUAUGAGUAAGAACAUGUGGUAUUUUGUUUUCUAUUCCUGUGUUAGCUUGCUGCAAAUGAUGGUUUCUGGCUUCAUCCAUGUCCUUGCAAAGGACUGAACUCAUCCUUUUUUAUGGCUUCAUAGUAUUCCAUAGUGUAUAUGUGCCACAUUUUCUUUAUGCAGUCUAUCACUGAUGGAUAUUUGGGUUGGUUCCAAGUCUUUGCUAUUGUGAAGAGUUCUGCAAUAAACAUACAUGUGCAUGUUUCUUUAUAGUAAAAUGAUUUAUAAUCCUUUGUGUAUAUACCCAGUAAUGGGAUUGCUGGGUCAAAUGGUAUUUCUUGUUCUAGAUCCUUGAUAUUGUCUGGUUAAAUUAAUUUACACUCCCACCAACAGUGUAAAAACAUUCUUAUUUCUCCACAUCCUCACCAGCAUCUGUUGUUUCCUGGCUUUUUAAUGAUCACCAUUCUAACUGGCAUGAGAUGCUAUCUCACUGUGGUUUUUAUUUGCAUUUCUCUAACGACAAUCAGUGAUAAUGAGCUGUUAAUGUCAUAUCAAACUAAAAAUGAGCCAGUAUAGCCAAGAUAAUCCUAAGCAAAAAGAAUAAAGCUGAAGGCAUCACCCUACCUGACUUCAAAAUAUACUAUGAAGCUUCAGUAACCAAUACAGCAUGGUACUGGUACCAAAACAGAUAAUAUAAGCUGGAACAGAACAGAAGCAUCA